UGGGGAAUAUUGGACAAUGGGCGCAAGCCUGAUCCAGCCAUGCCGCGUGAGUGAUGAAGGCCUUCGGGUCGUAAAGCUCUGUGGGGAGGGACGAAAGACGGGGUGCCAAUACCACCCUGGGUUGACGGUACCUCCUUAGCAAGCACCGGCUAACUCCGUGCCAGCAGCCGCGGUAAUACGGAGGGUGCAAACGUUGCUCGGAAUCAUUGGGCGUAAAGCGCACGUAGGCGGUCUGAUAAGUCAGGUGUGAAAGCCCUGGGCUCAACCCAGGAAGGGCACUUGAAACUGCCAGGCUUGAGUACGGAAGGGGGUCUCGGAAUUCCCGGUGUAGAGGUGAAAUUCGUAGAUAUCGGGAGGAACACCAGUGGCGAAGGCGGAGACCUGGGCCGAUACUGACGCUGAGGUGCGAAAGCGUGGGGAGCAAACAGGAUUAGAUACCCCCGUAGUCC
rnacentral:rRNA from 1 species